rnacentral:misc_RNA from 1 species
GAUGAAGAACGUAGCGAAAUGCGAUAAGUAAUGUGAAUUGGAGAAUUCAGUGAAUCAUCGAAUCUUUGAACGCACAUUGCGCCCGCCAGUAUUCUGGCGGGCAUGCCUGUUCGAGCGUCAUUACAACCCUCAGGCCCCCGGGCCUGGCGUUGGGGAUCGGCGGAGCCCCCCGUGGGCACACGCCGUCCCCCAAAUGCAGUGGCGGUCCCGCCGCAGCUUCCAUCGCGUAGUAGCUAACACCUCGCGACUGGAGAGCGGCGCGGCCACGCCGUAAAACACCCAACUCUUCUGAAGUUGACCUCGAAUCAGGUAGGAAUACCCGCUGAACUUAAGCAUAUCAAUAAGCGGAGGA